GACGAACGCUGGCGGCGUGCCUAAUACAUGCAAGUCGAACGCAGCGGGGACGGGUGAGUAACACGUGGGUAACCUCCCAUCAGAGGGGAUAACACUUGGAAACAGGUGCUAAACCGCUACUGAUGGAUGGACCCGCGGUGUAUUAGCUAGUUGGUGAGGUAACGGCUCACCAAGGCCACGAUGCAUAGCCGACCUGGGGGGGUGGCCGGCCAAGCUGGAACUGAGACACGGUCCAAACUCCUACGGGAGGCAGCAGUAGGGAAUCUUCGGCAAUAGACGAAAAUCUGACCGAGCAACGCCGCGUGAGUGAAGAAGGUUUUCGGAUCGUAAAACUCUGUUGUUAGGGAAGCGGUAUCUAACCAGAAAACCACGGCUAACUACGUGCCAACAGCCGCGGUAAUGC
rnacentral:rRNA from 1 species